rnacentral:lncRNA from 1 species
GCCAUUAUGUCAAUUUUCUUUAAACAAAGAAAAUAUCCACCAUUCUUAUGCUUGAGAAUAUAAAGAUAAUAUAAUUAAAUACGACAAACAAUAGGAAGAGAGAGCUAGAAAUUACCUCAACCGGACUUAUUAUACCCUAUACCGAGUCAUUACCAUUCGAUGGAGCGGGAUCAACGAUCAACCUUCAAUCUCAACCAGGAAAGCAAAUUUAAGCCAAGCCCUCUAAUGAAACUAUAAACUCCUUUAUCACAAAUCUUAGGCCCUUAGGUAAAUCCCCUUAGCAACUUAGUUUGAGAUAAAUACUUAUCUUUUCUACCACAACCCUAUAGUCUAAAAUCCCAAUGAGAGAUCAUGAAAGAGUUGAGAGCACCACCAUGAGAGAGAUAUCAAAGAUGAGAGGGUAGAGUGUACCCCUUUGGGGCUUUCGAGAGAGAGAAAAACUUUCUUAAGAGAGAGAUAAAUUCUAUGUGGGGCGUGCCCCUUUGUGGGAUAUGAGAGAGAGAUGGGAAUUAGGUGUAAGAGAUAAGGUGUAGAGAUUUUGGGUAAAGAUCUCUUUUUAUAGGCUUUGAACAAUAUUAGGGUUUUUUAGAGUUUCUCUUGGCUUGCCUCUUCUUACAAAAUUGAAUAUGAACCAUUGAUCUUGGGUGAUUUGUGGGAUGACAGAUUUGAGACAUCCAUUCCAUAAAUGGGCCUUCAACAUUAUGGAAGGUGCUAGAAUCAUUUAUUCCCUAUUCCUAAACUAUUUUCCCAUCAAUAGAAAUUAAAUAAAAUAAUUCCAUUUAUAAUAUAGUGCUUACCAAAAUUAUGCACAAGCCUUCUCAUGCUUUCCAAAAAUCCUUUGAAAGCUUCCUCAAGGCAAAAUCUUUUCAAAACACUUCAAAGCUUUCUUUUCAAGCCAAAGCUUGAACUAAUACAAGGAAAAUUUCAUUAGGGUGGGGUGUGCCACCUUAGGUGGUACUUUAUGGGCCUCACCCACAUCAAUGGUGGGCCCAUUAACAUAUUGGGCCUCCCAUGCAAUAUUAAAAUUAUUAAAAUUAAUUAUAUGAUUUUUAGACAUCCAUAAAAUCAAAUUUGAAUAUUUAAAUCAAUCUAAAAUCAAUAUCUCUAUUUUUAUAAAUUCAAAUUUGAUAAAUAAAAUAUCCAGAGAUUUAGAAAAAUUCAAAUAAUAAUUCUAAAAAUCAUAUAUCAUUAAAAAAAUAAUAAUUAAAUUCAUUAGAUGGGAAAAUGAUCCCUAUGGUCCAGGAAUUAAAUAAAUAAACGCUGGGACACUCCACUUUCAACUGUGGAUUACAAUCCACACUUGCUUUAUCAAACCGACCAAGUGUUUCCCAUGACCCACCGUCUAUGCAGGGGCUCAUUAGUGGGUCACCAAAGUCUGGCCAAUGAGCCAAGGGUUGUAAUCCCAGUUUGUGGAUUUUAGGUUCUCCCCUAGAGACGUACCAAGGUCACCUAGACUUGAUGCGACUACAGCUCCUAUGGUACAUAGGGGCAUCUCUCGCACAUUCAUAAGCUUCAUUCCUAAAAGGUGGUUCGCCUUCCCAAGACGGUUAUCAUUAUGCAUACCGUGUGAUGGCUCGUGGAUGAGGCUUUGGCCCCCAUCUCUAAAGGCCACCAUCACACACAAGGGUCACACAGUCCCUCGGCUCACUUGUCCAGGCAUACUCCGACCUCACCAAGGGAUGACCUAUUAGAACCCUUAUUGGAUAGUUUUCUAUGCCCAGGUAACAUAGGUUUUUUCCAACCGACUGGCUUAGCUUAUCAAGCUCAGUUCGGUAUCAGCAAAUAUCGUUUGCUUAGUAUGGUCCACGAGGAACCAUACUCCCGUUGAGUUCAUGUUCCACUGUAUCAUUUCAUUUUACAAGCACUUAUAAGGCCUUUAAUGGUCACAUUCACCCAACAUCUCCCACUUGGCCUUUGACGGCCUUACGUUCUCUUCCUCACUUUUUCUCAUUCUCAUCUCUCUCUUUCAUAAACAAUCUGUUUCAUGUAUUUUUCACUUAUUCUCUCUCAAUACAUUAAUCAUGGGUUUCGCUAUUAAUCAUUUCACAAAAGGGCUUAUAGAGGCAACACCUUUUUCUCUUUGUUGCUCGGAUCUUCUCCCAAAAGUGGUCGUAGCCUAUCUUUCGUAGCCUCUCUUUCAUAUCCCAUCACGAAUCAUGGUCCUGUUGUCGCAGAAGACCGUCACGUACCCUCAUCGCAUAGGGUCUUAUGUUCAUGGGCUCAAAGGAGUUCUUCAAAUAAGCUGCUCUCUUUUAUAGCCAUACAACCAGCGCCACACAUUCGGGUUCCAUGGGUGACCAACAUUAUAGUCUGUUGUUCCAUCUAGCUUUUCAAAUACUAGUAGGUGUUCCCACUGGAAUAUUUAGUUUAUCUGGACCUCGAUCUUUUGCAAUCUCACCUCAUUCCUCAGGUCAUAGAAAUAUGGUUUUAUAUCAUUGGAGUUCUUAUGGAAUCGUGGCUCCUUUGACACGCAUAUCAUCGCCAUGUUGUCACAGAAAAUCGUUAUUGCCUCACAAUGCACGAGGUGGAAGUCAAGUCGAUUAAGAAAUUUCUUAAUCCAUAUAGCCUCCUUGGCCGUCAAAUAGCACGCCGCGUACUAUGUCCAUAGUGGAUAAUGCCAUCACAUCUUGUUUCUUUGAUUUUCAAGAAACUGUACCCCCUCCAAGCAUGAACACAUAUCCAGAUGUAGACUUUGCAUCAUCUAUAUCCGUGAGAUAGCUUCCACCUGUAUAUCUGAAUAUCCAAGCAUAUAAAAAAAAGUGGGAUUGUAGCAGCUCCCACUCAAUUAUUGCACAUACAAUAUAUACAUUCUUAGCAUUCUUAUGCAAUAAGUAAUUCAAUACCCGUUGAUUUUACAAUAUUUAAAACCUUCAUGAACCACAAAGGUUCAACCAUACUAGUCAUCUUGGUAGUAAAUCCAUACAAACCAAGUUAUCUAAUCAACACAAUAUGUGUCAAGGAAGCCUAGCAAGAUGGCCUUCCUACAACAUUCCCUAUGGUUAAAGGUCUUAGGUAAUCGAUGAUUCUAAAUAAUUAGAUACAUGUGUCAAGGCACAUGGGUAUUUAAAAACCAAUGCGUGUCAGUUUUUCUCCUAUUUUUAUAAAUACCUCAAGACAAUGUUUUUCUCUUUAAUAAAAAAAAAACUAUCGACUAAGUAUAUAUUGUAUGACGGUUUAAAAUAAUUUUCAUAAAGACUUAGUGGACCUUGCAAGACUAUGUAAUUUUCUUAAAACCAUAUUCAUAGACUUAGGUUUUUCUCAAAUCAUCCGAUUUAAUUUUAAAAGACAUGCUUAGCCUUCAUAAAUCAUUUUACUGCAUUCACCUUUAAUUUCCUACCAAGUAAAGUUCAUGGCCAUAAAAAACAAAUCAUAUAUAUCAUCUUAUAAUUUUAUUCAAAAUAAAGCAUUACUAAAUAAUGGUUAUUAAAUCCUUGACAAAAUACUUCUUUUUUGGCAAAUUAGAGAACUUAUCAAGAGAUUAUCAUCACAUGCAACACAUCAUAUUAUAGACAUUAUUGGGAGGAUGGUCACUAAGAUCGAGUUUUAUCAGAACACUCCCUUCGUUCUUACAUAUUUGAAUGAGCCAUACCCAUCUCUCGUGUUUCAUUUUUAGGGCUCAAAGCCCUUGAUCAAAUUACAUCUCCAUGUGUAUCACUACCUUAAGUAGUUCAUGCUCUAGCACAAGGAGGCACUAAAGCACAGGGUAUUCAUAAAUCGGCUCUUUCAAAUUAUUAGCAUCCAUCAUUUAAUGUCCAUAUACUCCAUACAUAUUCAUAAAACAAUUAGCCAAAAUAUAACCAAAGCAUAUUAAACAUAAAAUAAACAGUUAUUCAAUACUCUUUCCCUAUAUCACCUUACCAUGUAAUGUGGGAUAAAUUUCAUACCUCAAAACCAUGUAGUGUGGUACCUGGGCUUUCUUGAUUCAUUGUUUUUAUUUGUUUGACAAGCUUUUGUGAUCUUGGAAGAGCACGUAACUGAUAGAUAAUAUAUUGGUCAUCGAUUUCACAUGUCACGAAGUGUCCAUCUCUUUGGCACUUGGAUUCUCCCUGUCUCACACCAUGAAGAAAUUCUCUUCUUCAUCCCAUCAUUUCAAAUAUCAAAAAUUUGAUGCUCCCACUGAUCUUUAGCUUUUUUUUUUGCUACCACCAAGUCUCUCUAUUUAUCCCUUCAUUUUGAAGAAACCAAGAUGCUUUUAUAGGUAUUGUGUUUCUUCUUCUUUCUGUUAUUCCCAGAUCGAAAAUUCUUCAUAUAGAGUGUCAUAUCUCACCAACUCUGUAUUACAUCUCUCUGAAGUUUUACUAUAAUAAACCAUACUCAUGGUACACUAUAAAACCUUUUUAAAUGAGCCCUAAAAAGGUCUCCAUAAUUAGGAAUCCAAAGAUGUGUCUUAUCAUGCCACAUUUUUUAAUUUACUGCAUAAUGGAACUUGAGUAUCCCAUGAUAAUUGAUAUCUCUCAACCCAUAAAGAGUUUAUCUCCGAAUCCUUUUGAAUAUUGAAAUAAACUCAAAAAUAUAAAAUAGUGCUAAGUUCCAUCCUUAAAUCAUAUCAUUUAGUGAGUCUUCAUUUUAAUGACAUUUGCGUCACAAUGCAAUUUUCUCAGCACAAAAUCAGGUUGAGCACCUCUGAAUAAAAAAUAUGUUUCCAAAUAAUCCUUUUCUUCAGAGAAAUAAAUAAGUGACAUUUACGUCACAAAAUAAAUCAUACUGCAGAAUUUCAGGAUGAACACUAUCUUGUAAAAUGGUCUUUUCUCUCUACCCUCAUGGAGUUUCCCUUUCAAACUAAUUUUGUUUAAAAUUAGACACAUAAUAGUAACACAAGCUUCAUAUCACUCUGUUAAGUAGGCUUGAUAAAUAUAGCUAUUCAUAUCUUAAUGAAGAACAUACCAAAUUGCAGAAAUUUCAAGAUAACCUCUCUUCAAUCCAAAAUUUUUAUUCCUCUAUUCCCAUAGAUAUUUCUCUCUCAAAUAAAUUUUAUUAGAAAAUAGACUCAGAAUGGAAGUGUAAAAACUAGGUGUGGGCCAUAAAACAUUCUGUUAAGAAUGGAAAUAAAAUCAUGAUUUUCAAGUCAUUAAAAUAGUUUUCGUUGCAGAAAACAGUACUUGCACACCCUUCAAUAAAUAAACUAUAUCUUUCAAAUCACGAGGAAUUUCUUGAUGAAACUAUUUUUGUUUGAUAGUAGACUCAAUUUGAUGAGUUAUAGUAAAAUUUCACCUAGAAAUAAAGUCAUAUGGUUGGUGGGAAAAAUCACGGAACUCAAUGGAUAGUUCAUGGAUUUUGUUGGGUCAGAACUGACACCCUUCAUUAAUGAGUCCAUAACUCUCAAUUCCCAUAAGAUCUCCCACUCAAAUUUUGCAAGUAGAUCCUAUUCUCAAAGACAUACAAUAUCACUGAAGUAUGAAAUAGAAAAAUAUAUUAUUAUCUUCUUCAUAUCACUGCUCCAAAAUAGCUUGGAAUACCCAUUCUGCAGAAUGCCUAUUUCGGUGUUUGAAUAUUCUAAUAAUUCUUAACCAUAGGUGUAUUACGUGACCACAAAGGUCAUUGGCUUUCUUAUAUUUCAUUCCCAAGCUUGAUCUAGACUCAAUAAAGAGAAACGACAGCUGCUGACAUCAUGUAUCAAUAGCUCAAAUACCAAUGAAAGAAAGACUAAUGCGAUCUUUCCGGAGAAUAUAUUUUUUCAUUUUUCUUCUUUUCACCUCUUUUCUUUUCUUUCGGCAAAGAUCACUUACAAGUAGUUUUAUUAUAACAACUCUUGCUUUGCUUCAAAGGAAAUAAAACUAACAAAUCCAAGAUUUUAAAAUCCUUGAUGCUAUUAAACCAAUUUUCUGUAAACAAAAAAAAUAUACACAAUUCUUAUGCUUAGGCAUAUAAAGACAAUAUAAUUAAAUAUGACAAGAAACAAAAAGAGAGUGCCGGAAAUUACCUCAACCGGGCUUAUUACACCCCACGUCUAGUCACCACCAUGCAAUGGUGCGGGAUUAACGAUCAACCUUCAAUCUCAACUGGGAAAGCAAGUUUAAUGAAACUAUGAACUCCUUUAUCACAAAUCUCAAACCCUUAGGUGAAUUCCUUUAGCAACCUAGUUUGAGAGAAAUACUUCUCUUUUGUACCACAACCCUGUAGUCUAAAAUCCCAAUGAGAGAUGAGAGAUCAUGAGAGUUUUGAGAGAAUCACCAUGAGAGAGUGGGGCGUACCCCUUUGGGUCUCUUGAGAGAGAGAGAAACUUUCUUAAGAGAGAGAGAGAAAUUCUAAGUGGGGCGUGCCCUUUUGUGGGAUAUGAGAGAGAGAUGGGAAUUAGGUGUAAGAGAUAAGGUAUAGAGAUUUUGGGUAGAGACAAUACUUUUUUAUAGGCUUUGAACAAGAAUAGGGUUGCUCAGAGAGAGAUGGGAAUUGGGUGUAAGAGAUAAGGUGUAGAGAUUUUGGGUAGAGACAAUCCCUUUUUAUAGGCUUUGAACAAGAUUAGGGUUUCUUAGGGUUUUCCUUGGCUUGUCUCUCUUGCGAGAUUGAAUAUGAACCAUUGAUCUUGGGUGACUUGUGGGGUGAGAGAUUUAAAACAUCCAUUCCAUAAAUGGGCCAUCAACAUUAUGAAAGGUGCUAGAACCUUUUAUCCCCCAUUCCUAAACCAUUUUCUCAUCAAUAGAAAUUAAAUAAAAUAAUUCCAUUCAUAAUAUGGUGCUUACCAAAAUUAUGCACAAGCCUUCUCAUGCUUUCCAAAAAUCCUUUUGAAAGCUUCCUUAAAGCAAAAUCUUUUUAAAAC